rnacentral:rRNA from 1 species
UACGUAGGGGGCAAGCGUUGUCCGGAAUCAUUGGGCGUAAAGAGCGCGUAGGCGGUCCGAUAAGUCGGCUGUGAAAGUCAGGGGCUCAACCCUUGAAAGCCGGCCGAUACUGUCGGACUAGAGUCCGGAAGAGGCGAGUGGAAUUCCCGGUGUAGCGGUGAAAUGCGCAGAUAUCGGGAGGAACACCAAUGGCGAAGGCAGCUCGCUGGGACGGUACUGACGCUGAGGCGCGAAAGCG